rnacentral:misc_RNA from 1 species
GAAAUGCGAUAAGUAAUGUGAAUUGCAGAAUUCAGUGAAUCAUCGAAUCUUUGAACGCACAUUGCGCCCGCCAGUACUCUGGCGGGCAUGCCUGUUCGAGCGUCAUUUCAACCCUCAAGCACUGCUUGGUGUUGGGGCCCUACGGCUGCCGUAGGCCCCGAAAUGGAGUGGCGGGCUCGCUGCAAAUCCGAGCGUAGUAGAAUUAAACUUUUCUCGCUAGGGAGGAGCGGCGCGGCCCAGCCCAGCCCGUCCGACGGGGUACCCCAGCGGUCCCCACCGGACGUUCACACAAGGUUGACCUCGGAUCAGGUAGGAAUACCCGCUGAACUUAA